rnacentral:rRNA from 1 species
UGCGCAGGCGGGCUUGUAAGUCAGUGGUGAAAUCUUGCCGCUUAACGGUAAAAUUGCCAUUGAUACUGCAAGUCUUGAAUAUGGUUGAGGUAGGCGGAAUGUGUCGUGUAGCGGUGAAAUGCAUAGAUAUGACACAGAACGCCAAUUGCGAAGGCAGCUUACUAAGCCAUUAUUGACGCUGAGGCACGAAAGCGUGGGGAGCGAACAGGAUUAGAUACCCUGGUAGUCC